GCAUGCAGGUGAGAAGGGAAGAUACAUGUAAUCUGCAUGUCUGCCACCAUUCCUUGUUACCCUUUUUCAUAUCCCAUGAGCACAGCACUCCAGCGGACCUACCCAAAAUAUGUGGGAGUUCAGUGAAACUCAAACCUAUACAGUCUCUGUCCUGGUGAGGAGCAUGAUCACCAACAGGCAAGAUCUUCUGGCCUUGAAGUUUCGCUUGAGUUAAAAGAGCUCAUCUCAGGACUUUCUGAAUUUUCAGCCCAUAUGACAUGGAAGAAGAGUUAGAAGGGGAAUCUGACUGCUUGGAUCAGGGACUGUCUGGCUGGUGGAACUUGAAUGUAUACAACACUCUUCAUUUGCAUGUUUUGACAUUUUAAAAAAUGUUUUCACUUUCCUUAUCUACUUUGACUCUAAUAACAUCCUGAAAGGUAAGUAGAAUUAUUCUCAUAAUAUGAUGAAGAACCCAAGGCUCUCAAGGGAACACCACUCUUGGAUUAUUUAGCCCCGCUCUUCUACAAGAAUUGCAUACCCCAACCCCUGGAGCCCCUCCCCAUAUCCAUGUUUCUGCCCUAUAAUCUGAUCCUUUCACCAAAAAUGUUUAGAUCAGGUACACACACCUGAACUAAAUUGGGACUAUCAGUUUCUCUCUCUUUAAAUUGCCCUGAGAAUUGAAACUCAGAGGAGCAAAAGUCUAAGUUUUGAGAGAUAACAUGUGUAAAAUGGCAGGAAUCCAAAUCCAUAGGCACAGUCCACAGAUUCCUGAAGCUAGGGGUUCUGGCCCGAACCUGGUUUUCAAUCUUCUCCCCUUAAGCCCUUCCUAGCUCUUUUAAACUCUUUGAAUUGCUUUAAAUAGCCCUAGUUUCUUAAACUAAAUUCUCCUUUUUUGGUAAAGGUACAUUGAAUUAGUUUCUGUUAUUUGCUAUCAAAAGAAUCUUACCUAAUAUGGGCACAGAGAUG
rnacentral:lncRNA from 1 species